AUCUCUGAAUGGCACUGUCAGUGGGUUCUGUCUCCCUCUUACUCUGAAUUCAGGGGAAAAUUCACCCUUGGUUCACACAGGGCUGCUGUCUUAGGAUCCUGAGUAUCAGAGUCAUGGGAACCUGCACUGGAUUCUCAGGAAGUCCUAUGUCAUCAGCAGCCACCCUUGUCUGCCAUACAAAUUAGUACUCACCUUUGAGGAUGGCUCCACAUAGUCUCCAAAGCAAUAGCUGUCUGGUUCCUUGGUGGAGGUUGAAUGGACCACACUGGACGAGGACUCAUAGGACUAGUCAGCCCUUCCCUUGGUGCCUCUGUUUUGCAUGUCUCCUCCUCACACAACCCCCAGGCCAUCCCUAUAAAGAUCUGAUGCCUUGUGCACUACCCAGGCUUUGAACACUCUCUGCUAGCAUGUUCCCAGUGGCUCAGGUUUGGCUUCUUUGGAGCCUGGCUUUCUGGAGAGCAGCAGUGAGUGGGGAUAUCAUCCUGACCCAGACACCAGCCUCCUUGUCUGCAUCUCCGGGGGAGACAGUCUCUAUCUCCUGUCAAGCCAGUGCUGAUGUAAACAGAGAGAUGUCUUGGAUCCGGAUAAAACUUGGCCAAAGACUUGAACCCCUUAUAUCACACAUCACCACUUUGGCCUCGGGUGUCCCAGCCAGAGUGAAUAUGUCUACUUGGAAGAAACAGUUGAUAUCAGACAGACCUGGGCUCAAAUACCAGCCCAAGCACUCACUGACAUGUGAUCUUGGCCAGACUACCUAUGCUAUGAAAGCUUCUCUCCUCUGUGAAAGAGAAGAGUCCCCUGUGCUCUGCUUUACGCAGCUUUGAAUAUCUUAGAAUGAAGAGGCUGUGUAAAGAAUGACUAGCCAGAUGUCAUUAUAAACUAAAAAUCGCCAAUAAUUAUUGUACAAUGAAUGGUUCCUCACUAUAUGCAACUGAGCUCUUGCUGAAUAGGCCAGAACUUCUUCUUACUAAGCAUUUACUAAAAUGGGCUAGGAGUUGUAAAUAUGUAUCUCUUUUAAUUCAGAACAGCUCUUAUGGACCUGAGAGCCAUUUCCAAGAGUGAAAUGUUAAAAAAAUGAGAUCCCUAUCUCCAAGACUCCAGGAGAGGACAGAGUCUUCUGAGUUUGGCAAUGAGCAGCCACAAACAUGGCUGGCCCCAUGUCAUGUCCACUAACUGAUCCCUGUGCUUCUCACUCCUUUGACUCUAUGGAACCCUCAUAUCCACCCUCCCUCCUGCUCUAAACUAUUAUGUGAUGGAGCGGGGACCAACAGUGUUUUCCAGGUUCUUAUUGUCCAGUUCAGUGAAUUGGUCAGGGCAAUUGGUGAAUAUGAAAGAUUACUGUUAUUUUAUGGAAGAAAUAAGAAAAGUGAAGAGAAAAAGGAAAGAAGCUCCAAAGAAGUGCUCAAGGAGAUAAGGGUGCUUUGAGGGAAAAUCAAAGAUAUAUCCUGAAAGCAGAAUGGACCUCUGCAAGGACAAAAGGACAGUGGCCCUGAAGUCAGUUGCUGCUGUCUUCUUUUAUAGUGGAUCCAGGUGGUCCCACUUGAUCUUAUUCUGGAAGAUUGAUAUCAGGUGCCAGGUUUGGCAGGUUCUCAGAUCAGAAGAUUGGUACUGGUGCAGGGCUCAGCUUGAUCCUGUCAGGCUUGGGUGCUGCUGUUCUGCACCUGUGGUUGAUGAGUCUCCUCAGCUGGUAGGUCGUGCCCAGCUGCUCUAGCCAUGUCCUAGCCUCCUACUGCAAAACCACCCAGAUUGGAAUGGAUCUAACUCCUUCUGUACUUCUUGGCAUUUAAAAAAUAAUUUUAUUCCUAACUGUCAUGUAUGACGUUUUACAGAAUGUGUCCUGGGAGUUGUCUUGAAUUCUGACCCAAGAAAGACUCAAGUUGGAGAGAGCUAAAAACCUCAAAUCUGCAGAAGGCUGAGGACGGAACUACAUAGAACACAGUCAAGAGUGAGGGUGCUGACCAUGAACUUACAACAGAGGACAGAAAAGAGUGAAAACCUUGAAAGAUACAACUGGAUGCAGUCAAGACCCAAGACAUUAGCAGACCGGCCAACUCUCCAAAUCCUUUCAAAUCCUUCUUCACUGGCCCGGCUGAUUAGGGACCCAAAUUUGAGGCCUCUUGUCAAUAAACGUCCAAUAGAGUUCUUUCUUUUUGCAAAAAAGCUGGUGCCAUAGUAUUGGUUACUGUGUGUCAGGUUGCUCACUAUCACACAUUGUGGGGUUGUCUGUACAUUUUUUCCACUAUGAAGCACUCCAUCAACCCAUUUAUUUGUAGUAUUAGGAAGAUGAACAAGUAUAUGUGCUGCCAAAGCAAGCACAAACAAGGAGACUGCAAAUGCCCAUUGCACCUUUAUUCUGGACUUCUCUUGAGCCCCAUUUGUGCUAGCUUUCUAUGCUGUUGUGAAAAAUUACCAAAAAUAACAGAAAUUUAUUCUGCAGCAGUUUGGGGGUAGAGAAGUUUGGAAUAAGCUUCAGUGACCUGAAGAUCAGGGUGCUGGCAGGGAGGAUGGGGUGCAGAAGUUUUAUGGGAGACUCUGCUCCUUGUCUUUCCCAGGUUCUGGUGGCUGCUCUCUCCUUGGCAGUGGCCGAAUCACACUAGCCUCUUUUCUGUGUUCACAUGGCUUUUCCUUCCCCCAUCAUAAGGAUCACAUUCAGAUCACUUGAGAUCACAUUUAGAACCUCCCCUUCUAAGUAUCCUUAAUUUACAUCUGCAAUCCCGCAUAAAGGUAAUUCUCACCCUCCACAGAAUAGGACCUGGUAUUAUGGUGGCCAUACUUGGUUUACUAAACAUUAAAGUAUCAACUCUCCCAGUGUACACACAUACCAUAAUCUUUCUGCCUCUCUCUUCCUUUCUUCUCUUUAUCUCCCUUCACCAUCAUAAAUCACUUUGCUUCUUUAAAUGUAUUCAGCUUCCCAGAGAGGCUCACACAGGGAGAAGUUGCUUGGGUUUUUCUAAAGACCUGCUCUGUCCCCAAUUAUGCACAAGGAAGGAUACAGAAGGCCUUUGUUCAUCUGGGGAGAAGCUGCCUCCACAGAGAGUCUGGAGCUGUUUGUCUCUGAAUCAGAUUGUUUUCAGGGACCCUUGACCUUCCACCUUCUUGGAGCAUAUGGGUGGCACUGGCUCAAGAGGAUCCAUUUCCGCCUCUCCUUUCCUCUCACUGUGGGCUGAUUGUAGUGAUGAAUUUAUUAAAGUAUAGAAAUGAGUUUAAUUUUGGUUGUAUUUUUCUUAGUUAAGUUCAUGAGGCAGUUUGAAAUGUUUUGCAAAAUAUUGUAUGAGAAUCAAUUUUUUAGUACUGACUUGACUCAGUAAAAGAAAGAAAACUCUAAUUUAGGAA